GAGCAUCAGGAGUCCGCGCCCGGUCACAAGUGGAAUUCUCUUCCUUGCCAAUUGAGACAGACAUGUGUUGCUGUCAUAAAGAUCGCACCGUCCAGUUUGGCCAAAUUGGUGGUCUCGAGGAUAAGCAAAGGACAUAAAGAUCAUCAGCAGGUGUAUACAAAGAUGCUCAACACCACUAAUCAUGAGGGAAAUGCACAUCAAAACCCCAAAGAGAUAUCACCUCAUACCUGCCGGAAUGGCCAGUAGAAACAAGUGCCUGCUUUCCUGCCCACAGCACCACUAACAUCCCAGGAGUUCCUCAACGCAAUUAUUUCUCAUUUUGUGUUACUUGCUGAAAGUAGUGCUAAUGUGCCCAAAAGGCUUUGCUCCUUGGUGAUGGAAAACAAAAACAAAAACAACAAAAAAAGCUCCUGCUCGGUUGUCAUUGGAGAGAAGAAACACCCAGAGAGUUGGGGCAUAUAUGGCCUGACUGUGCUGUGGACAUGAGCUGCAGACCCGCGCCUACUCGAAUUUCUUGUGCAGGUGAAUGGGAAUUCCACGCGUAGCACGCGAUUCACCACAGAGAGCUGAGCUACACUACGCCUGUAUACACACACAGUUUCGUUUGCUUGUUUGGGGAACGGCGUGUCAAAAUCACUCAAGUAAACAGGCAAAUGCAACUUCUUUCUUCUCGAAAAAUUAAUAACCAGUUGUUUAGCCAACUCCAAAUAUUAAUUUGCAAACUAAUUUUGUGAAUGUAGGCACAACUCAUUAUUAAUAGAAGAAGCAUAAAGAUUCCUCAUUGUCUAUGCUUUUUAAUCCAGCCCCAUAAACGGUUUUCA